UCAGUUCGGACUGGAGUCUGCAACCCGACUCCACGAAGUUGGAUUCGCUAGUAAUCGCGCAUCAGCCAUGGCGCGGUGAAUACGUUCCCGGGCCUUGUACACACCGCCCGUCAAGCCAUGGGAGGCCGGGGGCGCCUGAAGUCCGGGACCGCGAGGACCGGCCUAGGGCGAAACUGGUGACUGGGGCUAAGUCGUAACAAGGUACC
rnacentral:rRNA from 1 species